GAAUUUUAUAUAUUAUAAAUUAAGCUUAGAGUUUAGUAUUAUUAAUUUAAAGUAUAUUUAGUUGGGGGGAUUAUUAAAUUGAAUAAACUUAAAUUAGGGUGUAAUCAUAAAUGAGUGAAAUAAUAGAAUAAUAAAGAAAUUAAAUAAGAAUUAAUUACCUUAGGGAUAACAGCGUAAUAUUAUUGGAGAGAUCUUAUUGAUAAUAAUGAUUGC
rnacentral:rRNA from 2 species